rnacentral:rRNA from 1 species
UUAUGGUCAUAUCAUGUUGAAAUACCAGUUCCCAUACGACCACCAAAGUUAAGCAAUGUCAAGCCUAGUCAGUACCUAGAUUAGUGACAGCUUGGGAAUACCAAGUUCUGUAAG